rnacentral:lncRNA from 1 species
UUGGUUUAGGAUUUGGUUAGGGUUUAGGGUUUGAUUAGAGUUUGAUUUAGGAUUAGGAUUUGAUUAGGGUUUGAUUAGAGUUUGAUUUAGGAUUAGGAUUUGAUUAGGAUUUGAUUAGGAUUUGAUUUAGAGUCAGGAUUUGGUUAGGAUUUGAAUUAGGGUUAAGAUUUGGUUAGGAUUUGAUUUAAGAUUAGGAUUUGGUUUAAGAUUUAAGAUUUGCUUAGGGCUUGAUUUAGAAUUAAGGUUUGAUUUAGGAUUUAGAAUUUGAUUAGGAUUUGAUUUAGAGUUAGGAUUUAAUUAGGAUUUAGUUAGGAUUCGGUUAAGAUUUAGGAUUUGAUUUAGGGUUGAUUAAGAUUUGAUUUAGGAUUUAGGAUUUGAUUUAAGGUUGGUUAAGAUUUGAUUUAGGAUUUAAGAUUUGGUUAGGGUUUGAUUUAGGGUUUAGAAUUUUAUUUGAGUUUGUUUAGGAUUUAAGAUUUAAAUAGUUUUUUGCCUAAAGAUUGAAUGAAGUCCAAUAGGAUUUUAACUAGGAUUAAAUUAAGAUUGAAUUGAGAUGUAUUUGAGAUAUAUUUGUGAUCAUUCUAAUAUUGCUUUAAGAUUUCUUAUUAUUUCUUUGUAAUUCCUUUGAGAUUUAUUUGAAUUUGAUUAAAGCUUACUUAGCAUUGUUAUGGUCUAAUUAGAGUUUAGUUAGUAUUCUAUCAAAAUUAGGAUUUUGUUGUUGCAAUUUCCAUUCUACCUUCUACAACUAGGUGCUCGGAGCAUUCUCAAGCAAGACUUCUCGUAUUAUAACAAUGUCUAGUCUUUUCUUGUUCAA